CUACCAUCAUUCCUUUUCACAUUUUGGCACAUGCCGAGCAAGUUCUUGACCGUGUGUAUCCGCGCCCGUUAAGCCUGAUGUAUUUGAUAAAAUCGUUCAAAAAUCGAAGAAAAACGUACUAAAUUAAUCAGUGCUGUAUAUCAAGUGUCCGCAAGUGAAACAACGUCAGAGAAAGUAAGGAGGUCAGCAUAAGUAGUGUUGAAUAAGGGAUUCUUUCAACCCCGCCAGCAGCAGGACACUGAGGAGUAACCGCCACAAGUAAGCGAAAUCUACACCAGCAAGAUGUCGUUCGAGGAAACUUCUGCCGAUCGAAAUGUUGAGAUCUGGAAGAUCAAAAAACUAAUCAAGAGCUUGGAAAUGGCUCGAGGCAAUGGCACUAGCAUGAUAUCGUUGAUUAUUCCACCGAAGGAUCAGAUCAGUCGGAUUAGCAAGAUGUUGGCCGAUGAGUUCGGCACUGCAUCGAACAUCAAGUCUCGCGUGAACCGUCUGUCCGUACUGGGUGCCAUUACCUCGGUCCAGCAUCGGCUUAAACUAUACACCAAAGUGCCUCCGAAUGGACUCGUGAUCUACUGCGGUACGAUCGUGACCGAAGAGGGCAAGGAGAAGAAAGUCAACAUUGACUUUGAACCGUUCAAACCGAUCAAUACCUCGUUAUAUCUCUGCGAUAAUAAGUUUCACACAGAAGCACUGACGGCACUGCUAGCGGACGACAAUAAGUUCGGUUUCAUCGUGAUGGAUGGUAAUGGCGCACUGUUCGGUACACUUCAGGGCAACACACGUGAAGUGCUGCACAAAUUUACCGUGGAUUUACCGAAGAAACACGGCCGAGGUGGUCAGUCCGCUUUGCGUUUCGCGCGUCUUCGUAUGGAGAAGCGUCACAAUUACGUCCGGAAGGUGGCAGAAGUGGCCACCCAGUUGUUCAUCACCAACGACAAGCCAAACAUUGCCGGGUUGAUUCUAGCCGGUAGUGCCGACUUCAAGACGGAACUUAGUCAGUCAGAUAUGUUCGAUCCGCGAUUGCAAUCGAAAGUUAUCAAGCUGGUGGACGUGUCGUACGGUGGUGAGAAUGGUUUUAAUCAAGCCAUCGAGUUAGCAGCGGAGUCAUUACAGAAUGUUAAAUUUAUCCAAGAGAAGAAACUGAUCGGGCGAUACUUUGACGAAAUUUCACAGGAUACCGGAAAGUACUGCUUCGGCGUGGAGGACACCUUAAAGGCGUUGGAACUGGGUUCAGUCGAAACUCUGAUCUGCUGGGAGAACUUGGACAUUCAACGUUACGUGCUGAAGAAUCAUGUCAGUGCGACAUCUACUACAGUAUUGCACCUGACCCCGGAACAAGAGAAAGACAAGUCUCACUUCACCGACAAAGAGAGUGGCGUAGAGAUGGAACUGGUUGAAUCUCAACCGCUUCUCGAAUGGCUUGCCAACAAUUACAAGAGCUUCGGUGCUACAUUGGAAAUUAUAACUGACAAGUCACAGGAAGGUAGUCAGUUUGUGCGAGGUUUCGGUGGAAUCGGAGGUAUUCUCCGCUACAAAGUUGACUUUCAGUCUCUGCAGGCCGAUGAGCCACUGGACGAUGUUGACCUUGACGAUUACUAAAUCAAUUACGUAUCUCCUUUGCUGCAGUAUGAUUUUAAAGAUGAACCGGGCACUGUUCGACGACCAACCGAACGGUACAGACAACCUAAAACUUACUUUUCACUUUUCGAAUUCCGUAUAAAAAAAAACCGCGUUCUAGGCCGAUUUUUGCGAAUAGUAAACGGACAGAUAACAAAUUGAAAUCAAAUGUAAACAUUUUUAGUAGGGAACGUUAUCAUCAGGUCCCCCUCGAGAGCAAAUCAAAGUCGAAACUGAAAUGGAUUGAAAUCGAACACAUACAUAAUAUAUAUAAUAUUGAAUAGUUAAAAUGAUGAGGUGAAAAAACUGAACUAAUCAGUUCCGAUCCUGUGUGGUGAGCGUGUGUAUCUAGAUAAAAGGCGAAUCCGGCAAGCCGUUUUGUAUAAAUAUUAGUAAUGCAGGCCUCUGUAACCACUCGUUUUUACUAUCUCUCAGGCUCUGAUUCUCCGACUUCAAUGUUUACUCGAAGCUGCUGCAACACCAAUCGAAAAACAGAUACCUAACAUGAGCGAGAGCAUUAACGAAUGGGCGUAGGAGGCUCGUUUUAAUUGUGAUAUAUCAUUGAAAAAAGUAGUCCUUACAUUAACAAUUCAGUCUUUUGUACAGCCGUACCGAUUGCAUGACACGGCAUCGCUAUAAGUAAUGGAAAAUUAUUAGUAUACUAGUGAGUCAUAUAACAAAAGAUUUCCAUCACCUACUUAUAGCGUUGGUUUGCAUGAGUAACUGUAAACUGGCGAUCGGUAAUAAACAAAUAGUGUUCACGAGAAAACGUAAUUCGCGAUACAAAGGAAAGUAGCUCAAAAAUGACUUGUGUUGGCGACUUCACAGCUAUGAAUAACGACUAUCUUGGAAUUAUAGCACUAGAAGCACAGAAAUAGUUACUGCAAGAAAUAUUUAUCGCCUUACGCAACGGAUGUGUAGAUUGCAAGAUUGUUGUCAAGUGACAGAGUUGAGAUUUUACGCGUAAUAUUAUUCAUAAUUUUUCGGUCUAAAUCAGCGCCCUCUCCAUACAGAACAAAAAAAAAACAGACUCAAUGACGCACUGUAAUACGACCUACCAUAACAUUCUUGCGUUUAGAUUAAAGGAACAACUGCACCACGCACAGCGCCGCUGUUGGGUUUUUGAGAGUGAAGGUAUUUUGCGCUACAAGGUAGAUUUCCAAAGUAUGCAACUAGACGAAUUGGACAACGAUUGUUUCGAUUUAGAAGAUUAUUAAAUUUUUAUGUUUUAUGAAGAUAUCAGUUAUACAUCAGGUUAGAAAAUAUACAAAAACGAAUAAUAAGAGAAGUUGCGGUGAAACCAAGUA